GAUGAACGCUGGCGGCGUGCCUAAUACAUGCAAGUCGAGCGAACGGACGAGAAGCUUGCUUCUCUGGUGUUAGCGGCGGACGGGUGAGUAACACGUGGAUAACCUACCUAUAAGACUGGGAUAACUUCGGGAAACCGGAGCUAAUACCAGAUAAUAUUUUGAACCGCAUGGUUCAAAAGUGAAAGACGGUCUUGCUGUCACUUAUAGAUGGAUCCGCGCUGCAUUAGCUAGUUGGUAAGGUAACGGCUUACCAAGGCAACGAUGCAUAGCCGACCUGAGAGGGUGAUCGGCCACACUGGAACUGAGACACGGUCCAGACUCCUACGGGAGGCAGCAGUAGGGAAUCUUCCGCAAUGGGCGAAAGCCUGACGGAGCAACGCCGCGUGAGUGAUGAAGGUCUUCGGAUCGUAAAACUCUGUUAUUAGGGAAGAACAUAUGUGUAAGUAACUGUGCACAUCUUGACGGUACCUAAUCAGAAAGCCACGGCUAACUACGUG
rnacentral:rRNA from 1 species